rnacentral:rRNA from 1 species
UACGUAGGGGGCGAGCGUUGUCCGGAAUCACUGGGCGUAAAGGGCGCGUAGGCGGUAAUAUAAGUCAGAUGUGAAAUCCUAUGGCUUAACCAUAGAACUGCAUUUGAAACUGUUAUUCUAGAGUAUGGGAGAGGUAGGUGGAAUUCUUGGUGUAGGGGUAAAAUCCGUAGAGAUCAAGAGGAAUACUCAUUGCGAAGGCGACCUGCUAGAACAUAACUGACGCUGAUGCGCGAAAGCGUGGGGAGCAAACAGG